UGUCCGAUGGUGUAAUGGUAGCACUGCAGAUUUUGGUUCUGCCUGUCUAGGUUCGAGUCCUAGUCGGACAA
rnacentral:tRNA from 1 species